AAUAGCUGAUUGCACCAACAAAUAGUUGAUGCAAUAUUGACUCUGUCAAAUAAAAUUCUAGGUAGAAUUAUGAUAAUGACAUUGUCUGCCUAUAUGUCUUGACCAAAUUACGUGCCAGCAGUCGCGGUAAUACGUAGAAGACUAGUGUUAUUCAUCUUUAAUAGGUUUAAAGGGUACCUAGACGGUAAAUCAAGCCUUCACAGGGACUAAUUUACUAGAGUUACUUACGAGGGGGUAUUAAAGUACUGCAGGUGUAGAGAUGAAAUUCUGUCAUACCUCUUUUCAAAAGAAAAAUUAUGGCACAGGUAUAGGUGAAAGCAUCCCCUUAUGUGAUAACUGACGUUGAAGGACGAAGGCUUUGUGUCGCGAACAGGAUUAGAUACCCCAGUAGUCAAAGCAGAAAAUGAUGAAUGUCAUAGAUUAGAUAAAUAGUUUAUUCUAUAAAUGAAAAUGUAAGCAUUCCACCUCAAGAGUAAUUUGGCAACAUUGGAACUGAAAUCAUUAGACCGUUUCUGAAACCAGUAGUGAAGUAUGUUGUUUAAUUUGAUGAUCCGCAAAAAACCUUACCACAAUUUGAAUAUUUAUAUCUAUCUUUUUUUUUCGUAAAAAAAUAAAAAGGUAAUAUAUUUACAAGCGUUGCACGGCUGUCUUCAGUUAAUGUCGCGAGACUUUGGUUAGUUCCAUUAAAUUAACGUAAACCCUUACUUUAUUUUUAUAUAAAGUAGUUCCCCGCUAUAUUGGAUAUGAUAACA
rnacentral:rRNA from 1 species